UACGUAGGCAGCAAGCGUUGUUCGGAAUUACUGGGCGUAAAGAGUGUGUAGGCGGUGCUCUAAGUUCGGUGUGAAAUCUCCCGGCUCAACUGGGAGGGUGCGCCGGAAACUGGGGUGCUGGAGCGCGGGAGAGGAAAGCGGAAUUCCUGGUGUAGCGGUGAAAUGCGUAGAUAUCAGGAGGAACACCGGCGGUGUAGACGGCUUUCUGGACCGUAGCUGACGCUGAGACACGAAGGCGUGGGUAGCAAACGGG
rnacentral:rRNA from 1 species